CUCCAGUCAGAGGAGAGCAGUCAGGAGAAGAGCAAACCUAGCGGGUUCAGCUGGCUGUGGACCGCAAACUGCUCACAUCUGACCCGCUUUUUGGUCUCGUUGGAUAUGUUUUCUCUGUUAUAAUGAUCAGAGACAUUUGCACGGUUCCCGUUAAAGGGACAGAGUCAAAAGGUCGACCCGCACAUUCGCUUGUUUGACGGGGAAGCUAAGGUUAGCGGUGUUUUACUAGCCCGCUAACGACUCACUUGGACUGUAUAGUGCCUUACAGCCGUAUUAGCUUGCUGUGCUAACGUGCUAGCUCCUGGUACUUGGGUGAUAACACCGAUCACUGCUCGUGGGAACCCCUUUAACGAAGAAGGAGCGCAUACCAAUUUGGAACAUUUAGCAUUAGCAUCACCAUCCUCCUGGAUGCGCAACCUGAAGCGAGUCACCUGAAAGGCCUGGUGCAUUUGUGGAACAACAGAAGCCAAAGCAAACCUCCACCCUGCUCCUACGCGGUUCCAGCUCAGCUGGUGGUUCAGUGGCACUUGAAAAGGGGAGGUGUGUGGUCGGCCAAGAUAACACUGCAGCAGCCCCAGGACUCUCUCCACAGGAGGAGCGUUCGGGGGGAACGCUGAGAGGAGGACAGCAGUUGCGGCCUGAGCAGGGACACGCGCAGGGAGAACUCAUGUCAAGCCCUUCUCCUCCUCGGACAGCCUAGCGAAGGUGCAGGAGGUAGCAAGCUGGCUUUUGGAGAUGAACCAGGAACUGCUGUCGGGGGACAGCAGCAGCAGGCAGAGUCGCAGAGUGGGGGCCCCAGGGGCCCCGGGGGGGCGAGGUAACGCCUCCUCCACGGCCAGGGCUCCCCAGCAGGCAGGGGUCGAUGAGGGAGAUGAGGAUGAGCACAUGAACAGAGUGGAGCUGGAGGAGCAGAGGCCUGCGGCGUCCCAAGUCGACAGUGAGAGAGAACAACCAUGGUCCUCCAACGAAUCUGGCACCAACGGCCCUCGCCCGGAGCCCGAGCAGAGAGAAGAGGAGCGGGCCAGCGAGGUGAACGGGCGUCCCAAAGGAACAGGCCGCUGGUCCUGGAACCCCCAACAGAGGAGACUCAGGGGGCAAGCGCUACCAGAGGAGGAAGAGGAGGAGGAGAACAAUAACUCCAGUCACCUGGAGGAGGAGGAGAGGACCGAGGGUGGGGAGGAGGAGCAGGGGAGAGAAGAAGAGGAGCGAGAGGAGGAGGAAGAGGAGGAUGAAGAGGACAUGGACCAGGACAGUGAUGACUUUGAGCAUUCAGCUGAGAGCGGCCGGGAGGAGGAAGAGGAGGAGGAAGGCCCACCAUCGCCCUCCAUAAGGACCAGUGUGUCUGCUCCCAACAGCCUGGACU
ensembl:lncRNA